GGCUACCUAGCGCAAUGGUAGCGCGUUUGGCUUCGAUUGCCUUACGGAUACCAAAAGGUUGCAGGUUCGAGUCCUGCGGUGGUCA